AAAUUAAUACAAUUAACACUUUAACACUAAAAAAUUACGAUUUAUCAACAUUUUAACUUAACAAUAUUUUACGUACAUCAAGUACAAAAGUUUUUUUAUAAGAAGUAAUAAAAUUUGUGCCAGCAAUUGCGGUUAAACAAUAACUUCUAUUAAAACUAAUUUAAUUAAAACAACCAUUUUCCCUAAAUAACUUAUAGUAAAAUAUAAUUAUUAUUACCAUACAUUUAAUUAAAAAUUACACUAAAACUAGGAUUAGAUACCCUACUAUAAAUAAUAUAAUUCAGGUAGUAUUUUUUGUAAAAAACCUAUGCAUUUUGGCGGCGAAAUCACUCAAAGGAACUUGUUUAAUAAUCGUAAAUACUCGAUAAUUUUCACCUUCAUCUUAAAGCUUAUAUACCGCUGUAUAAAAAACUUCUAAAUAUCAUUAUUUAAAUAUACUUUAAAAAUUCAAGUCAAGGUGUAGCUAAUAAUAAGAGUCUAAAUUAGUUACUAUAAACAUAAUUUAUGGAACUUAAAUAAAUUAAAAUAAAAAAGGAUUUAAUUUCAAUUUGUUAACAAUAACAACAAAUGAAAACUCCCCAUCGUGCACAUAUCGCCCGUCACCCUCUUUCUUUAGAGGUAAGUCGUAACAUAGUUGGUGUUCUGGAAAGAGCCCCAUGAUAAUAAC
rnacentral:rRNA from 1 species